UACAGAGGUCCCAAGCGUUGUUCGGAUUCACUGGGCGUAAAGGGUGCGUAGGUGGCGAGGUAAGUCGGAUGUGAAAGCUCGGAGCUCAACUCCGAAAUGGCAUUGGAAACUACCUUGCUCGAGGGUCGGAGGGGGGACUGGAAUUCUCGGUGUAGCAGUGAAAUGCGUAGAUAUCGUAAGGAAGACCAGCGGCGAAGGCGAGUUCCUGGACAGUUACUGACGCUGAGGCACGAAGGCCAGGGGAGCAAACGGG
rnacentral:rRNA from 1 species